rnacentral:rRNA from 1 species
GACGAACGCUGGCGGCGUGCUUAACACAUGCAAGUCGAACGAAGUGGCGAACGGGUGAGUAAUACGUGGGUAACCUGCCCUCCUUUUUGGGAUAAGCCUUGGACACGGGGUCUAAUCCCGAAUAAAGGGGGAUGGGCUCGCGGCCUAUCAGCUUGUUGGUGGGGUGAUGGCCUACCAAGGCGGUGACGGGUAGCCGGCGUGAGAGGGUGAGCGGCCACAUGGGGACUGAGAUACGGCCCAGACUCCUACGGGAGGCCGCAGGGGGGGAUAUUGCACAAUGGGCGAAAGCCUGAUGCAGCGACGCCGCGUGGGGGAUGAAGGCUUUCGGUUUGUAAACCUCUUUCGCUCUCGAACGGGUAGGUGGAGAAGAAGCGCCGGCUAACUACGUGCCAGCAGCCGCGGUAAUAC